GUUCCCGUAGCUCAGCAGGAUAGAGCGCAGGAUUCCUAAUCCUGAGGCCGUGGGUUCGAAUCCCGCCGGGAACACCA
rnacentral:tRNA from 2 species